GACGAACGCUGGCGGCGUGCCUAAUACAUGCAAGUAGAACGCAGUUGAGAACGGGGGAGUAACGCGUAGGUAACUGCCCCAUAGCGGGGGAUUACUUAGGGAAAAGAUAGCUAAUUACGCAUACUGUGAGCUGGACCUGCGUGGUAUUAGGUAGUUGGUGAGGUAAAGGUUCACCAAGGCGGAGAUACAUAGCCGACCGUUGAGGGUGGUCGGCCACAACGGGACUGGAACACGGCCCAAGCUCCUACGGGGAGCAGUAGUAGGGAAUCUUCGGCAAUGGACGGAAGUCUGAACGAGCAACGGCGGGUGAGUGAAGAAGGUUUUCGGAUCGUAAAGCUCUGUUGUGAGAGAAGCGGUAACUAACGAGAAAGGGACGGCUAACUACGUGCCAGCAGCCGCGGUAAUUC
rnacentral:rRNA from 1 species